UAAGGGCGCACGGUGGAUGCCUUGGCACUAGAAGCCGAUGAAGGACGUUACUAACGACGAUAUGCUUUGGGGAGCUGUAAGUAAGCUUUGAUCCAGAGAUUUCCGAAUGGGGAAACCCAGCAUGAGUUAUGUCAUGUUAUCGAUAUGUGAAUACAUAGCAUAUCAGAAGGCACACCCGGAGAACUGAAACAUCUUAGUACCCGGAGGAAGAGAAAGAAAAUUCGAUUCCCUUAGUAGCGGCGAGCGAAACGGGAAGAGCCCAAACCAACAAGCUUGCUUGUUGGGGUUGUAGGACACUCUAUACGGAGUUACAAAGGACGACAUUAGACGAAUCAUCUGGAAAGAUGAAUCAAAGAAGGUAAUAAUCCUGUAGUCGAAAAUGUUGUCUCUCUUGAGUGGAUCCUGAGUACGACGGAGCACGUGAAAUUCCGUCGGAAUCUGGGAGGACCAUCUCCUAAGGCUAAAUACUCUCUAGUGACCGAUAGUGAACCAGUACCGUGAGGGAAAGGUGAAAAGCACCCCGGAAGGGGAGUGAAAUAGAACCUGAAACCGUGUGCUUACAAGUAGUCAGAGCCCGUUAAUGGGUGAUGGCGUGCCUUUUGUAGAAUGAACCGGCGAGUUACGAUUUGAUGCAAGGUUAAGCAGUAAAUGUGGAGCCGUAGCGAAAGCGAGUCUGAAUAGGGCGUUUAGUAUUUGGUCGUAGACCCGAAACCAGGUGAUCUACCCUUGGUCAGGUUGAAGUUCAGGUAACACUGAAUGGAGGACCGAACCGACUUACGUUGAAAAGUGAGCGGAUGAACUGAGGGUAGCGGAGAAAUUCCAAUCGAACCUGGAGAU
rnacentral:rRNA from 1 species